AUUGAGUAGCAUUUUGUAGAAUAAA
rnacentral:piRNA from 1 species